GCCCGACUAGCUCACCGGUAGAGCGCCUCACUAGUAUCUCCCAGUGAAAUGAGGAGGCAACAGGUUCGACUCCUGUGUUGGGCA